GCAAGUCGAACGAUGAAGCUUCUAGCUUGCUAGAAGUGGAUUAGUGGCGCACGGGUGAGUAAGGUAUAGUUAAUCUGCCCUACACAAGAGGACAACAGUUGGAAACGACUGCUAAUACUCUAUACUCCUGCUUAACACAAGUUGAGUAGGGAAAGUUUUUCGGUGUAGGAUGAGACUAUAUAGUAUCAGCUAGUUGGUAAGGUAAUGGCUUACCAAGGCUAUGACGCUUAACUGGUCUGAGAGGAUGAUCAGUCACACUGGAACUGAGACACGGUCCAGACUCCUACGGGAGGCAGCAGUAGGGAAUAUUGCGCAAUGGGGGAAACCCUGACGCAGCAACGCCGCGUGGAGGAUGACACUUUUCGGAGCGUAAACUCCUUUUCUUAGGGAAGAAUUCUGACGGUACCUAAGGAAUAAGCACCGGCUAACUCCGUGCCAGCAGCCGCGGUAAUACGGAGGGUGCAAGCGUUACUCGGAAUCACUGGGCGUAAAGGGCGCGUAGGCGGAUUAUCAAGUCUCUUGUGAAAUCUAAUGGCUUAACCAUUAAACUGCUUGGGAAACUGAUAGUCUAGAGUGAGGGAGAGGCAGAUGGAAUUGGUGGUGUAGGGGUAAAAUCCGUAGAUAUCACCAAGAAUACCCAUUGCGAAGGCGAUCUGCUGGAACUCAACUGACGCUAAGGCGCGAAAGCGUGGGGAGCAAACAGGAUUAGAUACCCUGGUAGUCCACGCCCUAAACGAUGUACACUAGUUGUUGGGGUGCUAGUCAUCUCAGUAAUGCAGCUAACGCAUUAAGUGUACCGCCUGGGGAGUACGGUCGCAAGAUUAAAACUCAAAGGAAUAGACGGGGACCCGCACAAGCGGUGGAGCAUGUGGUUUAAUUCGAAGAUACGCGAAGAACCUUACCUGGGCUUGAUAUCCUAAGAACCUUUUAGAGAUAAGAGGGUGCUAGCUUGCUAGAACUUAGAGACAGGUGCUGCACGGCUGUCGUCAGCUCGUGUCGUGAGAUGUUGGGUUAAGUCCCGCAACGAGCGCAACCCACGUAUUUAGUUGCUAACGGUUCGGCCGAGCACUCUAAAUAGACUGCCUUCGUAAGGAGGAGGAAGGUGUGGACGACGUCAAGUCAUCAUGGCCCUUAUGCCCAGGGCGACACACGUGCUACAAUGGCAUAUACAAUGAGACGCAAUACCGCGAGGUGGAGCAAAUCUAUAAAAUAUGUCCCAGUUCGGAUUGUUCUCUGCAACUCGAGAGCAUGAAGCCGGAAUCGCUAGUAAUCGUAGAUCAGCCAUGCUACGGUGAAUACGUUCCCGGGUCUUGUACUCACCGCCCGUCACACCAUGGGAGUUGAUUUCACUCGAAGCCGGAAUACUAAACUA
rnacentral:rRNA from 1 species